UCUUGCUUAAUCAUUAUUUCUACCAGAAACCUGAAUCGAUGGAGCAUAGUCGUGCGGUGUUUUAUUUUCGAUCUUUAAUCCGCUACGAUAUAGAGAUGCAUUGAAAGGAGAUCCGAAGCGGGAGGAGAAAGAGACCCGUGGCGGGAGGAGAGAGAGGUGUUGCAGCGAAAGCUUCUUCUAUUUGUCGGUUUCCAUAAAGCGGGGUGAUCCUGGAGAAGCAAAUGACGGGGUGGAGCGUGGAUAGACUCAUCUGACGCUGGUUCUGAACUGUGUGUUUUCCCAGUUCAGGAACUCUUCCAACGUUCUUGUUUGCUUGUUUUAUUACCUUUGGAUUCGAUGAUUUGGGGGGAGACUGUUCAUUCUCUUUCGCUUAAAAAUUUUCUUGUCAUCGGAGCAAUUAAACUGAUAAUGCCGGUUAUUGCAUUCCAGCGCAUAAUCUCGUCAAAACAUUCGGUGAGAGAUUCACCUUCUUGGUUUGCACGUAGCUGGAAAUCCCUCACUCGAGCUUUGUCUAUUUCAUUGUCUGCACACUAGAGAAGGCUGACACAUUUCUCUUGCGCUUAUUGAAAUUGUUUGUACUCGUCGAACACGUUAGAAAGAGCUGCUUUACAAUU